rnacentral:sRNA from 1 species
GUUUCCACUCCAGUGAACUAAUUCAAAUGUAUCCAGCAUCUAGAUAUAUGUAUAAAUGUAAUUAAAAUGUAUUGAGCAUCUAGAGCAUCUCUCCCAAGAUAAUUACCACCUGACAGUAAUGGCUAUAAAAGCUAAAAGUGGAAUCAGUCUACAUGUUUAGCAAUAGGAAUCAACUGAAGCAUACAUCAAAAUGCAGACAGUAGUAUUGAUGAGUAUUAAUGUUAUAGAUGCUUUUUAUCCUUCAUAUCUGUACUUUUUCCUGUAUUUUACAAUGUACUUGUACGUUGUACAAAUAAUUGCUGAUCAUGUAAAAAUAUAGAAAUAUAGAAAUUUUGUUGCCGUACUUGGGUCUUUUCCACUAUGAAAUUGAAAAAAAAUUCUAUAAUUCCUGGUUCUUUUAUAAUUUGAUAUUUGACAUUCUAAAUCUUCAGUGAAUUUGGAGUUUAUCUUUCUGUAACACAAAGCUGUGAAUGAAUUUUUGUUUUUCUCCCCAAAUGAACAUUAUCUAGUAUGCAAUACAUCAUUUCAACAUAGAAUUGAGGUGUCAUUUUUAUUAUAUACUAAAUUUGUAAAUAUAUUUGGGUUAAUUUCUGAAUUUUCUUCUUUGUAAAUUGAUUUUUCUCCUAUGUUUGCAUCUGCUAUUAUGUAUUAAUUAUUGAGGCUUUGUAAUGUGUCACAGGUUCUGUCAAGGCUGGGCUCUCAUUGUUCUCCUGUUACGUAUUUUUUCCUAGCUCUUCUUGCUUAUGUAUUUUCCCAUUUGAACUUCAAAAUUACUGUGUUUUGUUAAAAGACCCUUGUAAGAUAGAAGGCAGAUUUCAUUUCAUUAAGAAAAAACAGAAAAAAAAGCAAAUUCAAAAGACAA